rnacentral:pre_miRNA from 1 species
AGCCGGGGCGGGGGCGCCGGAGCGGAGGAAACAAAAGGCUAAGGCGGCGGCGGCGCCGGGGCG